rnacentral:snRNA from 1 species
GUGCUUGCUUCGGCAGCACAUACACUAAAAUUUGAAUGAUACAGAGAAGAUUAGCAUGGCCCCUGUGCAAGAAUAACUCCCAAGUUCAUGAAACAUUCCAUAUUUUU